GAUGAACGCUGGCGGCGUGCCUAAUACAUGCAAGUCGAGCGAACGGACGAGAAGCUUGCUUCUCUGAUGUUAGCGGCGGACGGGUGAGUAACACGUGGAUAACCUACCUAUAAGACUGGGAUAACUUCGGGAAACCGGAGCUAAUACCGGAUAAUAUUUUGAACCGCAUGGUUCAAAAGUGAAAGACGGUCUUGCUGUCACGUAUAGAUGGAUCCGCGCUGCAUUAGCUAGUUGGUAAGGUAACGGCUUACCAAGGCAACGAUGCAUAGCCGACCUGAGAGGGUGAUCGGCCACACUAGAACUGAGACACGGUCCAGACUCCUACGGGAGGCAGCAGUAGGGAAUCUUCCGCAAUGGGCGAAAGCCUGACGGAGCAACGCCGCGUGAGUGAUGAAGGUCUUCGGAUCGUAAAACUCUGUUAUUAGGGAAGAACAUAUGUGUAAGUAACUGUGCACAUCUUGACGGUACCUAAUCAGAAAGCCACGGCUAACUACGUG
rnacentral:rRNA from 1 species